rnacentral:misc_RNA from 1 species
ACUUCCUAAGCCGGAACGAAAAGUCUCUUUGUAGCGAUACGCUGAAACUUUUGGCUUUGUGGUUGUGAUGUUGUGUUUGCAAGUUGUCUGGGCCAACCAGACUUUGUAGUUUAAGCUACUGUUUUUUUCACUUCCUGUA